UGACGUCAUGCGGGAGAGACUCCGCACUCGGCUCGCGGCAACGCUGCCCGGCCACGGCAAUGGCCCCAACGUGCGCGCGGAGCGCCGAAGGAGCAACACUCCCCACAAACUCUCAGGCCCGAUCACCGCAUGGCACCA
rnacentral:ncRNA from 2 species